GUAUAUGGCCCUUUGUGAUUGGCUCCAUUCACUUAGCAUAGUCUUUUAAGGUUCAUCCACAUUGUAGCAUGUGUCAGUGCUUUAUUCCUUAUUUUUUUAACCAAAUAAAAUUCAGGUGCUAUCUGUUAUAAAAGGAAAGUCUUAUCGUUAAAGGUUGGUAAUUUCUGAGAACCAAGUUUAGAUUUAUGUUCUGCAGUUUUUAACAGUCUUGAGGCAGUCUUUAAUUCAGUUGCUGUGUGAAUAAUUUCAUCUUUUUCUUUGGAAGAGACACCUGUGCAUAGCAGAUCAUCUUCACCUAUUCCUCUGACUCCUAGCAAGGAAGGGAGUGCUGUGUUUGCUGGCUUUGAAGGGAGAAGAACUAAUGAAAUAAACGAGGUCCUCUCCUGGAAGCUUGUGCCUGACAAUUACCCCCCAGGUGACCAGCCGCCUCCACCCUCU
rnacentral:sRNA from 1 species